GCAGUCAUUAGUAGCAGACCAGGGCGUUCAACAUAAGACCAGCUGCGAGAACGAGUCACGAAAAUGAGAGCCUGGCUUACAAUACUGACUUGAAGGUACAAAGCACCCAUCAUUUCAUGUUCACUAUUUCUUAUAGAUCUUACACCAAAUUUGUCUGAAAAGAAGUCAGUUUUAUGCAUAGCCCAGAAGAAUAUAACAGUCAUCAGAGCCAAGUAACCACCAAGCACAAUUCCAGUGGCAAAUAUUUCUUUGAGUUUCCAGCUAUCAGGCAAGGGUGAUGGCUUCACUCUAUCCUUUGAAAUUGUCAUAAUUGUUCCAUCAUUUAGGAUAGC
rnacentral:misc_RNA from 1 species